rnacentral:misc_RNA from 1 species
GAUGAAGAACGUAGCGAAAUGCGAUAAGUAGUGUGAAUUGCAGAAUUCAGUGAAUCAUCGAAUCUUUGAACGCACAUUGCGCCCCAUGGUAUUCCGUGGGGCAUGCCUGUUCGAGCGUCAUUUACCCCCUCAAGCUCCGCUUGGUGUUGGGCGUCUGUCCCGCUUCGCGCGCGGACUCGCCCCAAAGGUAUUGGCAGCGGUCGUGCCAGCUUCUCGCGCAGCACAUUGCGCUUCUCGGGGCACCGGUGGGCCCGCGUCCAUCAAGCUCACCCCCCCAGUUUGACCUCGGAUCAGGUAGGGAUACCCGCUGAACUUAAGCAUAUCAAUAAGCGGAGGA